rnacentral:rRNA from 1 species
AUGGUUGCAGAGAUGGGAGAAGCAGCACCGGAAGCAGAGGUGGUGCCAGGGGCAGAGGGCGGUCAUGGCGAGGCGCUGAUGGUGCUCGAGACUCUGGCGUCGUCUUCGCUGGCCUGCACCGUCCCGCAGUUCCCGACCAAGUGGAAUUCCGUCAAGGACAAGCUCCGGCAGCUCUGCUCCGGCCUCAGUUUGCUGCGCAGCAAUGGCGGCGACGGCGAAGAUGAGGAGGAGGAAGAAGGGGAAGAACAUCACCAUGUGCUGGCUCAGUUUCUGCAGUCUGCUUCGGCCACCGUGAGGGCCAUCCUGGACGUGGCCUCGCAGUGCAGCGACGGCACGUACAGCGGCGGUCGGCUGCGCCUGCGGAGCGACAUGGACGGCCUCAGCGCCAAGCUGGAGGCGCACGUGCGGCAGCUCAAGGAGAUGGCCUCCACCGGCGCGGCCACGUCGCCGUCGCAGGCCAUCGUCGCGGUGCGGCCGGGCGCCGACGCCGGCGUCGGCGAGAAGAGGUUCUUCCUCAAGGACCUCUUCUCCCGGAUCAGGAUCGGCGGGCCGGUGCAGAGGGCGCAGGCGCUGGCCACAAUCGCCGAGCUCAUGUCGGAGGACGAGGCGUGCGUGCGGGUCGUGGCGCUCGACGUCGACGACGGCGUCGCCGUGCUCGCCGGCUUCCUCGAGUCGCGGGACCCGCGCGUCCAGGAGGAGGCAGCGGGCGCCGUGGCCGUCGUGGCGGGGUCCGACUCGUACAGGGGCAUGCUGGUGAAGGCCGGCGUGAUCGCGCCGCUGGUGCAGGUGCUGGAGAACGCCGGCGGCGUGGGCGCAGCCACGGCGCUCGCCAGGGAGCGCGCGGCGCAGGCGCUGCGGGAGCUGACGGAGAACUCGGACAACGUGUGGGCCGUGUGCGCGCACGGCGGCGUCACGACGCUCCUCCACGCCUGCGCCGACGCCGGCAGCGGCGGCCGGCUGCUCAGCUCCUCCUUCGCCGUCCUCCGGAACCUGAGCAGGGUGGAAGAAGUAAAAAUGUUCAUGGUGGAGCAGGGCGUGGUGACGGAGCUGGUCAAGCUCUCGCAGAAGAUGGAGGAGGUCCGGAAGCUCGGCGCCGUGGAGCUGCUGCACGCCAUGGCGCUGGACGACGCCGACGUGAGGGAGGAGGCCAUCGGCAUGGGGGUCAUCCAGUCCCUCCUCCAGCUGAUAUACCCGGACCUCCCCUACUCCUACAAGGCCCGGGAGGUGGCCCUGGCCGCCAUCUGGUUCUUCUGCUUCUCCUCGGCGAGCUCCAUCGACGACCUGACCAGCUCCGACGUGCUCGGCUGGCUGCUCCACUACCUCAACAACGGCGACUACGCGGUGCUCGACUGCACGCUCAAGAUCCUCCGCCACCUCGCGGAGGCCUCGGAGGAGUACAGCCGGAUGAUGGCCCGGGCCGGGUACUUCGCCGCGCUCUCCGGCCUGCUCGCCGCGAAGUCCUUCCGGGUGCGGGAGAUGGCGGCGCAGGUGCUGUCCAGCCUGCUGGCGCUGCACGGGAACCGGGUCAUCUUCAUCCAGGACGGCGACAACCUGGACCGGCUGCUGCAGCUGCUCGACCCCUCCGAGGGCAAGCUGAUGGCCAAGGGCCUCAUCCUCUCGGCCGUCAUGUCGCUCGCCGAGACGGGCGCCGGCAGGAAGAAGAUCGUGUCGUCGGAGCACUUCGGGAGCCUCAAGGAGCUCGCCGACUCCGGCGACUCCGACGCCAAGAAGGUCGUCAAGAAGAUCGCCAACAGCAGCAGGCUGCAGUCCAUGUUCAGCAAGAUAUGGAGCGCCUAA